GGGGGGGUAGCUCAGCGGUCAGAGCGCAGCGAACUUGAAUUUGGUGUCCGUUGCCUAAGAAUAGCGAAAUGUGUCCCUAAGAUGCCGGUUCCGAAGGUCCUGGGUUCGAAUCCCAGUUCUCCCU